rnacentral:rRNA from 1 species
CAGCAGUCGCGGCAACACAAGGAAGACAAGUGUUAUUCAUCUUAAAUAGGUUUAAAGGGUACCUAGACGGAAAAUUAGGCCAUAGUAGGUACGUUUUUUCUAGAGUUAUAUAUGCAUGGGGAUUGUGUCAGUAUUACCAGAGUAGAGAUGAAAUUUUUUGAUACUGUUAAGACUGGUAAAGGCGAAAGCAAACCUUUAUAUAUUAACUGACGUUGAGGGACGAAGGCUUGGGGAGCAAACAGGAUUAGAUACCCUAAUAGUCCAGGCAGAGAAUUAUGAAUGUCAUAGAUUAUACUUAAUAUAGUCUAUAAAUGAAAGUGUAAGCAUUCCACCUCAAGAGUAAUGUGGCAACGCUGGAACUGAAAUCAUUAGACCGUUUCUGAUACCAGUAGUGAAGUAUGUUGUUUAAUUUGUCGGUCCACAAAUAACCUUACCACAAUUUGAAUAUAUUUAUAUCUAAAUUUUAGUUUAUAUUUAUACAAGUGUUGCAUUGUUGUCUUCAGUUAAUGUUGUGAGACUUUGGUUAGAUUCAUAAAAUUAACGUAAUCCUAUAAUUUAUUUAAAUUUUAAUAGAUUAGUUCACCGCAAUAUUGGAUAUUGAUAACUGGGAGUAAGACAAGUCGUAAUGACCUUAAUAUUGUGGGCUAUAGACGUGCCACA